ACCAAUGAGUCAGGUUUCCCAGGUAAGGAAGCCAUCAACCUGGGGAUCCCCUGCACAGCUGUCUGCCCCACUUACUGGCACCUCCACAAGACAGAAGCUCUCCCUAAAACACCACAGAGUACACAUCCAGGGACAUCCAAACCAGGAAGCCACAGCGAGUGACAGUAGGAACUAGAAAAUGAUUUGAGCUCUUCAGGAAAAAAAAAAAAAAGAAGAAGAAGAGCAUCCCAAAGGUAGUGGGAGUGCAGCUACAACUUCAAGAAGGCAAGAAGUGAUUCAGAUGGAUGGAAGGGGCUACUUCAUCAUUAAAGGGAUGUUAGUGAACCAGAAGGCAGAAUGUAGCCGCCUUCCUCCAAGCUCACAGAGACACAGACCGGGCCAUGGACAUAAAGAAGAACUGAGCAGGGAGGACACUAAACAUCUUCCAAGUAAAUUAAGGUAAGAGAAAACAGAUUCGGAGCUUCAACCACAUCCUCUAUGGCAAAGGAAAUUGGAACUACAUUA